GAUGAACGCUGGCGGCGUGCCUAAUACAUGCAAGUCGAACGAGGUCUUCGGACCUAGUGGCGAACGGGUGAGUAACACGUUGGUACCUACCCCGAAGUGGGGAAUAACUGCCCGAAAGGGUGGCUAAUACCGCAUAAUACCGCAAGGUUAAAGCAGUAAUGCGCUUCGGGAGGGGCCUGCGUCCCAUUAGCUAGUUGGUAGGGUAAUGGCCUACCAAGGCGACGAUGGGUAGCUGGAUCGAGAGGUUGACCAGCCACACUGGGACUGAGAUACGGCCCAGACUCCUACGGGAGGCAGCAGUAAGGAAUCUUCCACAAUGGACGAAAGUCUGAUGGAGCAACGCCGCGUGCAGGAUGACGGCCUUCGGGUUGUAAACUGCUUUUAUAUGGGAAGAUUAUGACGGUACCAUAUGAAUAAGGACCGGCUAACUACGUGCCAGCCGCCGCCGUAA
rnacentral:rRNA from 1 species